GGGAGAAGCCCAAAAAAGAAAUCAAAUUUAAGCCCAAACUUAGCCCACAUAAUUAAAGGUAUUUUAGACCUUUGAUUUAUCUAAUUUAUGCAUUAAAAUAAUAGCUAUAUAAAGAAUUAGAGAGUAUAUACAUAGUUGGCCGCUAUAGGCCUUUUAAGGCAACAAAUUAGGCUAAUCAAGUUUCCUUAAAUAGCUAAUGACCUUACUUUCUUACAAAAAGUACAAUGUUUUCAACAUCUCAUUGGUGGAAAUCUCACUAAGCAUACUUAAGAUCAAGAUAAGGAGUUUUGUCUAAUGGACAACAAGAAUAUGUGGGAUAAUAGUAUGUCACACAUUGCUAGACUUCUAUAAAUAGAUUAGAGAGAGAAAUAAACCAUUCGCUAGCUCAUUUUGUGCACACACCCUCAACUAAUCUCUCUCAACUCAUAACCCACGAAAUUCAUUGCUAAGACCAGUCCCAAACAAAGCCCCACCAUUACCAUAAACAAAUCAGAAGCUAGAAUCAAGAUUAAGCCCAAAAAGGUAUAAAACCCUAGCUUGAUUUCUGUCUAUAAAUUCUGUGUUAGAUGUUAUGUUUGGGUGUUACAAUAUGUUGGUUAUAGUGUCUAAUGAUGAUAUGGGUUGCUAAAUGUUGGAUCCAUAACAUUUAGAAGCUCGGAUUUGAAGAUCUACAAAAUCUGGAAAAACUUAGUUCUGUGGUCUGACAACGAAUGUCAAUGGCCACAUAUCCUUUCUCGAUUAUGGUUUUUGUUGUUUUUAAGUUGUUAUGUGUAGCUUGUAAUGUGGUCUUUAAUAUGCAAAAAGAAUCAGAGUCAUUUGAUGUCUAGAACGGAAGUUAUUAACGGUCAAAUACCGUUGACCGGCAUUGACCAGAAGAAAUCUGGGCAGCCCAGAUUAUGCCCAAAUCGGUCUGACAACGCUUUUGAUCGACUAGAUCUGUCAGUAUAUUGGUGUUUGGGUUAUGUUGUUGUAAUAGAAUGGUAGCUUGGUAUGAGUACUACAAUUUAAAGCUUUUAGAUCGGUUAUAUAACAUAUAUAUUUAAUGUAGUGAUCGGUCAAACUAGUAGGGUUAAACACAAAAUCGAUUUCUGGGUAACCUAGAAAACCUAUGAACACUGCCUUUGACAUGCGUUGACCGAGCUAUAUCUUCUUGAUCUUUUGAUGUUUUGAUGUUUUGUUGAUAUUUUGUGUUAGAUCUCUUCAUUUACAUACUGGCUACAUACUGCAACUUAUAGAUCACAAAAUUAUUGCAUGAUCAGUAUGUAAUGUUAGCCCAAAGUAGGGCAGUCGAACUGUUCUUCAUUUUUGGGCAAACCCAGAAAUAAAGAACAGCUCUGACAGCCACUUUAGGGGCUUAGAUCUUCUUUGUUAUGAGCUGUAUGAACCUGUUUAUUGUUGUGUCUUGUAGUCUUGAAUUAGUACUACACUAUCAGAUCAACAACAUGCUCAGAAACACAACACACACUGAUUUACACUUGGUCAAACCCACCCACUCGGUAACUGGCUUGAAGAUCUGGGUUUGCAUGAAAAACACGAAGAACACUUACAGCGACGGUUCUGUCGCUAUAGGUGGUCUUUAGCGAU
rnacentral:lncRNA from 1 species